rnacentral:lncRNA from 1 species
AUUGCAUAAUGCAGUAGCCACUGGAUUUGCAGCAGAAACACUCUGCUACAGAACAAGUGUCUUGGUUCACAGCAAAGAGGACAAAGAAAACAGCAAGUUUUAGGGGGUUGAAUCCUGGAUUCCCCUGGCAAACACCAUUCUACUUUCCGUCUCUAUGAAUUUGACUACUCGAAGUACCUCAUGUGAAAUGUUGGUGCCAAAUGAACUUUUCUGGUUCUUCUGAAUAUGCCACUGUUGCUGGAGAAAUGUCACUGCUAGAGAACAGAAGACUAUUAUUCCAAAGGGUAUUUGAGACUGACUGAAUCAGGUCUGGAACAUUAUUGAAAUGAGACCCACAAAAGAAGAGAUACUGAGUAAUUCAGCAUUUCCAGUGACAUCCUUCUGGCUGUGCUUCAAAGGGAAGAUGACGCUAGAGCUGGCAGCAUGACCAGCACUGUGUAAAUCACCCAGACAGACAACAACACAACAUCCAUGAAUAGAUGGCAGAGUUAGCAAGAAAAAAUAGCUUGGAGGAUGGAAAAACCCCAAAGGAUACUCCAGCUAAGAAAGUAUGGACGCUUCCCCUAGUUUAGAAUGCACUUCAGAUGGAUUCCAAGCUAGAACAAGGUCUAUCUGGAGGUGAAGUCAUGUGACAUGAACUAAUGGCUAGAUUUCUACUGAGGAAGCUUGGGGUCCUUGUCUAUAAGAGGAUGAAGAGAUCCUCCUAGCUUGGCGGAAUACUCUGCUCUGAUGGAAGUACCAUCCUGGUCCAAACAUGAAAGAAUUCCCAACAUCAAGAUUGAUUGAAACAUAUUCAAUGGGAUGUAGGCUGGUGGCAGAAAGUAGACCCUGGAGAACAGGAGCACUUGGUUUCAAAUAAAAUACCUGCAUUAAAUAUUCAGCUUUCCUGCACCUUUAUCAUUACAUUUGAUUUGCAAAGAAGAUAGAAGUCUUAAGUCACUGUACAAAGAGAAAGAUAUAAAAGUUUAAAAAGAUACAAUGACUUUCCCAUAGCUAACAAGGAGCCAGCAUGGGUCCAAGUUUUGGCAUCGAUUUGGGGAAAAUGCUUUCAAACUCUAAAAUCUUAUAAAGAUGGGGAAAAUAAUUACUAAUAAAGGCCUACUACGGCCUUUUAUAUGUGUAACUGGAUCUUGGUUCAUGCUGAGCUUAAAAUUUGAUCUUCUGAAUAUCAGCAGAAAGACUCUUUCUGGUGAAUACAGAUCUUCUGAGCAAUUAUCGACUGACUUUGUCAUUAGACUGCCCUUUCAGAAGGUACAAAAAAAGAAAAAGAAAAUUACUACUGUGAAGUGAAGUCUGAGCAACUGGGAAGAAAUGCAAGGUGAAAUGAAAUGGUGAAGUUGUCAGUGACAUGAAUCUUUGCUCCCUUCUUCAUGGAAUAUUUCUGAUCUAAUAGCCCCUAUAUUUCAAAAGAUGGAUAUAAACAUCAGAUGAAUAUCACAGGAAAGCUGGAUUGCUCUGCAGUGAGUGAAACGUGGAAAGGCCUUUCCCCACCAAGCAGUAGGCCAAAUUGUAACAGUAAGAUGUAUUUGAAAUAAAAUGGUUCAUAGAUC